CCAAAUUUGAAAAUGUGGGUUGGGUUUUGAUUAUCCCAUGUCUGUCUCAUACAAGGUCAGUUUGUUACGUCAACAAACGUAUUGCCAACAGUGGAUGAAGACAAGCUUCAUGAAAUGAUAGAGGCCAAUCCUGACUUUUGCCUGACAUUAUAUAACAGCAUUCCCGGUACGUUUUUACUGCGGCACAGAUUGUAAUGGAGAGACAAAAUAGGUCAAGAAAUUAACACAUUUUAGCAAACUAUGGAUCGGCAUCCAUUUGCUAAUUUUGUUAUUGUUCUAAGCAUGUUACACUGGGUCAGUUUUCUGAGUCAAAAAUGACAGUCAAUGGUUUUAUUUGAAAUCAUAACCAUAUCAAAAAUAAUUUCUACUUCUGACUGUCAUCCCCACAAUAGCAGAUUUCCUUGUUUUUAAAGUUUUCUCUCCUUUAGAUCAUUCAUCACCAUCUUCCCUCACUGAUAACAUGUCACCUUCUUCGAGUGAUAAUGACCUCUCCAGUCGAAGAGAACGGGGGAUUCCCAUAGACAGAAAUGUAUCCAACUUUGAAGUCAUGAACAGAAGUACCACAGAGGCCUCAGGGUCAGAGGCAGCGAAAGAGAUGGUAGAAAAUGCCUUGCUAAGGAAACCUGGAGGUGAGGAUGUCCUGGAAGAGUACAAGUCAGAAAAUACGUUGACGCACAGCACCCGGAGACACCUUGUUAACAUUCUGACUAGCCAUAUGACUGAAAUGCAUGGGAGGAUUGUUCCACGUCAGCAAAAAGAGAAGUAUGCCCUGGGAAUCAUUACACUCUUUCCCUCGCUGAAGGAUCCUUUUUCUCCAAAGGGAUAUGAGCACUUCUAUGAUGGGGUGAAAAACACAGGAUUUUUAUCAUAGCGCCUGAGGACCAUGUCCAGGAAGAACCGGGCGAC